CCCACCAACCUGCCCACUGUUUAUUCUCAUGUUGUUCUCUCUCAGUGCUCUUCUAUUCACACGGCUUUCUUCUCACUCCACUGGAAAGGCAGAUGGCUACUCGUCAGAGGCUUCUUGUUCAAAGGGACCUUUUUCUACCCUCUGUAGCCAAGUUCUUCCUCAUAGGAACUGUCACCUGUGAGAGGAGCUGGAAAAACCAGUCUGAGCCAAAGCAGCACCACUUUUGAGGACAACAGACGGGGUCUGCACAUGAGUGUGGCUUUCAUUGAUGUGCCUUAAAGUAACCAAAGCUCUCUGAUGGAGCUUGGAGUGUUUAAUUCAGCUCAGAUGCAUUCCUCAGCUUUUCUUUAUGCUUCAGCUCAGGUUCUAAUGAAAUGACCCUCGACCUUGUUUGUUGACUUUUGGAAGACAUUUCUACAAACCUGAACUCUGUUUUGGACAACAACAAAAAAAAAUAAAAAUUGUGUCACGUGUUCAGAUGCAAGUAGGGGUCACUCCUGCAGAUGGAUCUACAAUUAUCUGCUCCCAUUUUAUGAUCCUGGGUUUGAACUAGGACUCAUCUCUGUGCUCUAAACCAGCAGCAUAUUCAUGAAUAAUUCCUCUUCCUGAAAUGCAUUUCUUUAUCCUUCUUAUUUACACAGUGACUCAGUUCUUACAGUUCAUUGAAAAAGAAUUUGCCUGUGGUGUGAAAACCAGCUGCACAGGUGAAAUGCAUCAAAAGAAUAAAACCACUGACUCAAAUAUGAAGCUCCUUUAUUGCAUGUAGUGCCUGCCCUGCAACCGUCGUGGCUCCAGGGCACAACCUACCUAAUGUCUUUUGAAAGAAGUGUCAUAAAUUUGUAUAAACAUCAUUUAUGUGCGUGAAACGAUAAGGACGGCAGACAAUAGAUCUAAUAGAGACAGGUAUGAGCUCCAUUCAGCUUUCCCUCAUCCAAGUCACAGUAAUCUGAGGUUACUAAUCAACUAAUAACCAAACAAGUGCAGGGAUUAAAACACUUGAGCAGGUCCAUAGUACCUGAAAUUAAGUAUUUCCCAAAAUCAGGAGUUAAAUCAUCAUUCAGUUUGUUCAGUACUGCGCUGACUAGCUGCAAAAAUCCACCAACAGUUACACGCAGGUGCAGUUUAAAGGCUCCUUCAUGGGAUUUACGCUGUUUGUGAACAUGUAAAGAGUAAUGAAUAACCUCUGUGUAUUAAAAAGGCCGUGUACUUCAAGCUUGAAAUAUUACACAGUGUCCAUCCUCUUCAAUUCAUCUUCUUCUUACACUCAUCCAAUUCAGGGUCACGCAGGGGUUGGAAGGGAUCCCGAGUUUUUGGCGUGCAGGAGGAAGUCGGAGAGAACCCCUGGAAGCCCAGGGAGAACAGACAAACCCCAAACAGAGCCCCCUGCUGGCUGGUCAAA